AGGUCAUCUGGAUGGCACCCCAUUGAUCGCCAGGGUUGAUUCGUCUGAUCUGGCUGGCUAGGCGGGUGUCCCCUUCCUCUGUCAUCACUCCAUGUGAGUCCCUCCCGAAGCUUCACACUCUGUAGAAGAGGAUGGCAUUCCCUGAAUAGAGACAGAACUGUUGAGAGUAUAGGAGUAGCUGCACUCCCCUGCUAGAACCUCCAAACAAGGUGGGAAAAAAAAAUGACCACUGGAAGCAAUGUAUUUAUUGUGUAGGCACGGACCCAAGCAGUAACCCUGGUAGCAAAAACUAAAUGAACAUACAUACAACUAAAAAAUACUUAGCACAUAAUUUUCCUAUAAAUAUUCAAUGUUUUUUUU
ensembl:misc_RNA 7SK 7SK RNA